AUUUGAAGAGAAUCGCAUUCAGGGUGAUUUCCAAGUGUCUCCAGACUUGAAGACCACUGCCUGGUAGCUUCUAGUGGAUGGAGAUGAUGUGCAUAAGCCCUUCUGGUCGAAGACCCCCAGGCCAGAUCUUUGGAGGGCCCUUCUUGGUCUUCUUGGAACCAGGACUUCUACGUUCUGUCCUCCUGCAGCCAUCUAAAAUCAGCCAGAAAGGUUUAGGAUCCCAUUUCCUGUUCUUGCAUCGGCUGUCCAAGCUGCUGUUCCUCUCUCCGCAGUAAGAGGGUGUUUCUCUCCCUGUUCAAGAGGAGCACCAACACUUGAGGACAGUAUCAUCCCUAGACCUUGGCAAGAGAGACCACUGAGUGAGGCAUCCAUGGAACCCAAGGAAGAGGCCUACGAAGAACCUGCAGUCACCUUCUAGACCAUUCUCCCUCACCAAACUGUCCCCUCCAGAGAGCUGAGGACUGGAUCUUCCCAUGCUGACACCUCCAGUGGGAAAGAAAAUUCUAGAUUCAGCUCUGGGUGUCCAAGUCAUUAUGAAGGCAUAUUUGUCAAGGUGGAAGAAAAGGACAUAUUCUAUUUAGCAGUUUGAAGAAGAUAGACAAAAACACCAGAGGAGCUGCUCCCAGAUGGAGUGGACUUGCCAUACAAAGCAAGAGAGUCCCAGCAGGGCAGGGAUCUGUAGUGGAUGGUGAUGCAGCACCCAGGAAACCUCAUCAGGAUGUAGCUACUCCUUCUCCCACUGCGGGUGGUACCAGCUGCUGAAGGCUCACAGCUGAGACUCUCUAAGGAAAGGGGACACAUAGCCCAGGUGAUGCCCACUCUCCAGGGACAGCCUGCACCAGUGACUAGACGCAGGAGGAAGAUGCCCACUGCCUGGCUUCUAUUUGUGAUGGCCUCUGAAGGGCUAUCUCAGAUCCACUGCUGCCUUUGGGGGAAUGGAGGUCCUUGUGGAGACCACAUUCCACCUGAAAUGCCUCUGCCCAAUCCUGCUUUCCUGACUUAUGGUUGUUGUUCCCAAGAAAACACCCUCAUAAAUCAUUUCCAGGGAACCCAACUGAAGCCAUAAAUCCCUCCAGAAAAAAA
rnacentral:lncRNA from 1 species